GGGCUGGUAGCUCAGUCGGUAGAGCAGCGGACUUUUAAUCCGUUGGUCCCGGGUUCGAGUCCCGGCCAGCCCACCA
rnacentral:tRNA from 2 species